UACAGGUGCUGCAUGGCUGUCGUCAGCUCGUGCUGUGAAGUGUGGGUUAAGUCCGCAACGAGCGCAACCCCUGCCAUCUGUUGCCAGCAAGUGAAGUUGGGGACUCAGGUGGAACUGCCGGUGACAAACCGGAGGAAGGUGGGGACGACGUCAAGUCAUCAUGGCCCUUAUGUCCUGGGCUACACACGUGCUACAAUGGCCGGUACAGAGCGCAGCGAAGCCGCGAGGCAAAGCGAAUCGCAAAAAGCCGGUCUCAGUACGGAUUGGAGUCUGAAACCCGACUCCAUGAAGUUGGAAUCGCUAGUAAUCGCGCAUCAGCAUGGCGCGGUGAAUACGUUCCCGGGCCUU
rnacentral:rRNA from 1 species